rnacentral:rRNA from 1 species
UGGGGAAUUUUGGACAAUGGGGGAAACCCUGAUCCAGCCAUCCCGCGUGUGCGAUGAAGGCCUUCGGGUUGUAAAGCACUUUUGGCAGGAAAGAAACGUCGCGGGUUAAUACCCCGCGAAACUGACGGUACCUGCAGAAUAAGCACCGGCUAACUACGUGCCAGCAGCCGCGGUAAUACGUAGGGUGCAAGCGUUAAUCGGAAUUCUGGGCGUAAAGCGUGCGCAGGCGGUCCGGAAAGAAAGAUGUGAAAUCCCAGAGCUUAACUUUGGAACUGCAUUUUUAACUACCGGGCUAGAGUGUGUCAGAGGGAGGUGGAAUUCCGCGUGUAGCAGUGAAAUGCGUAGAUAUGCGGNGGAACACCGAUGGCGAAGGCAGCCUCCUGGGAUAACACUGACGCUCAUGCACGAAAGCGUGGGGAGCAAACAGGAUUAGAUACCCUGGUAGUCCACGCCCUAAACGAUGUCAACUAGCUGUUGGGGCCUUCGGGCCUUGGUAGCGCAGCUAACGCGUAAGUUGACCGCCUGGGGAGUACGGUCGCAAGAUUAAAACUUAAAGGAAUUG